GAGGUCCGGCCUAGUAGUCUGGU
rnacentral:siRNA from 1 species